CAGUAGCCACGGUAAUACGAAGGGGGCUAGCGUUGUUCGGAUUUACUGGGCGUAAAGCGCACGUAGGCGGAUCGAUCAGUCAGGGGUGAAAUCCUGGAGCUCAACUCCAGAACUGCCUUUGAUACUGUCGAUCUCGAGUCCGGAAGAGGUGAGUGGAACUCCUAGUGUAGAGGUGGAAUUCGUAGAUAUUAGGAAGAACACCAGUGGCGAAGGCAGCUCUCUGGGUCCCCACUGACGCUGGGGUGCGAAAGCAUGGGGAGCAAACAGGAUCAGAUACCCCUGUAGUCCCUGUCUCUUAUAC
rnacentral:rRNA from 1 species